UUUGCUUAUUUUUUGUUUUGAUACUUAGACGACACGGUUUAGCAAGAAUUUUGAAGUUUGGCCAUCGACGGGCGCGGGCCAGAGGGCGAAUAAACGACCCCCCGGCGGUUGGUUACCCAACGGGCCCGCCGAAGCAACAUGGUAAGGUAGACACAGGGUUGGAGAUGGGGCCCCGAAGGACCCAAACUCGAUAAUGAUCCUUCCGCAGGUUCACCUACGGAAA
rnacentral:misc_RNA from 1 species